rnacentral:rRNA from 2 species
GACGGGGGCCCGCACAAGCGGUGGAGCAUGUGGUUUAAUUUGAAGCAACGCGAAGAACCUUACCAGGUCUUGACAUCUUUUGAUCACCUGAGAGAUCAGGUUUCCCCUUCGGGGGCAAAAUGACAGGUGGUGCAUGGUUGUCGUCAGCUCGUGUCGUGAGAUGUUGGGUUAAGUCCCGCAACGAGCGCAACCCUUAUGACUAGUUGCCAGCAUUUAGUUGGGCACUCUAGUAAGACUGCCGGUGACAAACCGGAGGAAGGUGGGGAUGACGUCAAAUCAUCAUGCCCCUUAUGACCUGGGCUACACACGUGCUACAAUGGAUGGUACAACGAGUUGCGAGACCGCGAGGUCAAGCUAAUCUCUUAAAGCCAUUCUCAGUUCGGACUGUAGGCUGCAACUCGCCUACACGAAGUCGGAAUCGCUAGUAAUCGCGGAUCAGCACGCCGCGGUGAAUACGUUCCCGGGCCUUGUACACACCGCCCGUCACACCAUGAGAGUUUGUAACACCCGAAGCCGGUGGCGUAACCCUUUUAGGGAGCGAGCCGUCUAA